rnacentral:rRNA from 1 species
GACGAACGCUGGCGGCGUGCUUAACACAUGCAAGUCGAACGGAAAGGCCCUGCUUUUGUGGGGUGCUCGAGUGGCGAACGGGUGAGUAACACGUGAGUAACCUGCCCUUGACUUUGGGAUAACUUCAGGAAACUGGGGCUAAUACCGGAUAGGAGCUCCUGCUGCAUGGUGGGGGUUGGAAAGUUUCGGCGGUUGGGGAUGGACGCGCGGCUAAUCAGCUUGUUGGUGGGGUAGGGGCUUACCAAGGCUUUGACGGGUCGCCGGCCGGAGAGGGUGACCGGCCACAUUGGGACUGAGAGACGGCGCAGACGCCUACGGGAGGCAGCAGUGGGGAAUAUUGCACAAUGGGCGGAAGCCUGAUGCAGCAACGCCGCGUGCGGGAUGACGGCCUUCGGGUUGUAAACCGCUUUCGCCUGUGACGAAGCGGGAGUGACGGUAAUGGGUAAAGAAGCACCGGCUAACUACGUG